CCUGUUUAACAAAAACAUCGUCUUUUGAAACACCCACAUAAAAGAUAAUGCCUGCCCAGUGAAAAUUUUAAACGGCCGCGUUAGCGUGAGCGUGCUAAGGUAGCGUAAUAAAUAGCCUUUUAAUUGGAGGCCAGUGAAUGGCAAGACUAGGAAUACCUGUACCCUUUAUGGAAAAAAAACUUUUCAUCUGAGUGAAAAGACUCAGAUAACAAAGGAAGACGAAAAGACCCCGCGGAACUUUACCUUUUCCAGCCUUAGCUGCCCACAAACACAAAAGACAAAAGGUUUGAUUGGGGCAAUCUCGGAACAAACCAAGCUUCCGAUCUCCCUUAAAUAAACAUCCAUAACACGAUAAGGACAAAAAAGAAGUUA
rnacentral:rRNA from 2 species